GACGAACGCUGGCGGCGUGCUUAACACAUGCAAGUCGAACGGAAAGACCCUGCUUUUGUGGGGUGCUCGAGUGGCGAACGGGUGAGUAACACGUGAGUAACCUGCCCUUGACUUUGGGAUAACUUCAGGAAACUGGGGCUAAUACCGGAUAGGAGCUCCUGCUGCAUGGUGGGGGUUGGAAAGUUUCGGCGGUUGGGGAUGGACUCGCGGCUUAUCAGCUUGUUGGUGGGGUAGUGGCUUACCAAGGCUUUGACGGGUAGCUGGCCUGAGAGGGUGACCGGCCACAUUGGGACUGAGAUACGGCCCAGACUCCUACGGGAGGCAGCAGUGGGGAAUAUUGCACAAUGGGCGGAAGCCUGAUGCAGCAACGCCGCGUGCGGGAUGACGGCCUUCGGGUUGUAACCCGCUUUCGCCUGUGACGAAGCGUGAGUGACGGUAAUGGGUAAAGAAGCACCGGCUAACUACGUG
rnacentral:rRNA from 1 species